UCCUGGGGUUCCUGAUCCAGCACAACGUCACCGGCAAGGGGCCCUUCGACAACCUGCUGCAGCACCUGUCCGACCCAUGGCACAACACCAUCAUCCAGACUUUCUCCGGUUGAGUCGACGGGGAGUGAUCACCAAUUUGGUGGGCUGAUGGGGACAGGAGGACAUACAUUGAUACGCGAUCGAUGUGAAUUCCUUUCUGUGUGGAUCAUCAGUUUGUGAUGUGUGUUUAAUCCGGAGAGGAGAUUAAGGACUGUGUUGUAAUAAUGCUGUAUGCAUGGUGAGGAGAGUGAGUA
rnacentral:lncRNA from 1 species